AGUCGUAACAAGGUCUCCGUAGGUGAACCUGCGGAGGGAUCAUUACACAAUAACCAGGCGGGCUGGACACCCCCCGCUGGGCACUGCUUCACGGCGUGCGCGGCGGGGCCGGCCCUGCUGAAUUAUUCACCCGUGUCUUUUGCGUACUUCUUGUUUCCUGGGUGGGCUCGCCCGCCCUCAGGACCAACCACAAACCUUUUGCAAUAGCAAUCAGCGUCAGUAACAACGUAAUUAAUUACAACUUUCAACAACGGAUCUCUUGGUUCUGGCAUCGAUGAAGAACGCAGCGAAAUGCGAUACGUAGUGUGAAUUGCAGAAUUCAGUGAAUCAUCGAAUCUUUGAACGCACAUUGCGCCCUUUGGUAUUCCAAAGGGCAUGCCUGUUCGAGCGUCAUUUGUACCCUCAAGCUUUGCUUGGUGUUGGGCGUCUUUUGUCUCCAGUUCGCUGGAGACUCGCCUUAAAGUCAUUGGCAGCCGGCCUACUGGUUUCGGAGCGCAGCACAAGUCGCGCUCUUUGCCAGCCAAGGUCAGCGUCCAGCAAGCCUUUUUUUCAACCUUUGACCUCGGAUCAGGUAGGGAUACCCGCUGAACUUAAGCAUAUC
rnacentral:misc_RNA from 1 species